rnacentral:rRNA from 1 species
UACGAAGGGGGCUAGCGUUGCUCGGAAUCACUGGGCGUAAAGGGUGCGUAGGCGGGUCUUUAAGUCAGGGGUGAAAUCCUGGAGCUCAACUCCAGAACUGCCUUUGAUACUGAAGAUCUUGAGUUCGGGAGAGGUGAGUGGAACUGCGAGUGUAGAGGUGAAAUUCGUAGAUAUUGGGAAGAACACCGGUGGCGAAGGCGGCUCUCUGGACCGGAUCUGACGCUGAGGCGCGAAAGCGUGGGGAGCAAACAGG